CCUACGGGUGGCAGCAGUGAGGAAUAUUGGUGAAUGGGCGCAAGCCUGAACCAGCCAAGUCGCGUGAGGGAUGACGGUCCUAUGGAUUGUAAACCUCUUUUGUCGGGGAGCAAGGCCCGCCACGUGUGGCGGGAAGGAGAGUACCCGAAGAAGAAGCAGCGGCUAACUCCGUGCCAGCAGCCGCGGUAAUACGGGGGAUGCGAGCGUGAUCCGGUUUUCUUGGGGGGAAAGGGAGCGUAGGGGGAAGGUUAAGUCAGCGGUCAAAUGUCGGUGCUCAACACCGGCCUGCCGUUGAAACUGGUCUUCUUGAGUGAGCGAGAAGUAUGCGGAAUGCGUGGUGUAGCGGUGAAAUGCAUAGAUAUCACGCAGAACUCCGAUUGCGAAGGCAGCCUACCGGCGCUCAACUGACGCUGAGGCACGAAAGCGUGGGGAUCGAACAGGAUUAGAUACCCUUGUAGUC
rnacentral:rRNA from 1 species